AGCAUUUAAUAAGGUAGCUUUCUUUCCUCUGGCUUUUGCCUCUUUCUGGGGCAGCCAGGCAUGAUCAGUGAGGGGUGAGCUGAUGGCUGUCAGUGCCCCGAUCUUUCUGGUCCCCAUUCAAACACAGCCUGCAGAAAGUUCCCAGGCAACUCUGCAACUCCCUGUGGAGAAGCGAGCCAGCAGCUGUGCCCUCUGGGCCUCAGUUUCCCCCUUGCUGCACUAAGAACACGAAGGCUUGGCCUGCCCCUCUUGGCUCCUGCUCAGGUCUGAGUCUCUAAAGCUCCAUGACAGGCUGUGACACACUUGCUUCUGCCUUCGGCUAUCAGCGGCCAUCUGGCAAUUAGCAGUCUCUGAGGCAGCUAAUCCCACUCUGAGCUGGAUUAAAGCUGAAGUUUAAAACAUGGAGAUAGGCAGGUGAUUUCGGUUUGAGUCUUUGGGUCCUGCUGUCCCUGGCAGCCUGAUGAUGGAGGACAGAAAAGCUGCUUUCCUCUCUUAUCUCUCUCGGGAGACUCAGAGGAGGCAGAGCAGCUUUCUGGAGGGGCAUCUUGGGCUGGGUGACCUGCUCCAGCUGAGGAUGGUGCCAGAGUUUCAAGUUGGCUACAAAACUACUUAAUAAAUCACGACGCAUAAAUAAGAAGUUAGAACAAAAGAAGAAAGGGAAGAGCUAACUGGACACAUGAGAUUCUCCGGGAAUGAGACCAAAACUUGAAACUUUAAAGACCUACCGCGGUGGCUUGGACACAUUUUAUAGCAGGUGCUAUCAAAAGAAAAGCAACUGGGUUGUUACACAAUCCAAAUCAUCUCUCCAGAAAAACAGAACAAUUAUUUUGGAGAAAAACAACCAUUUCACUUUCUAACCUGGAGGUUAAUUUCUCUUAAAGGAAAGUAUGUGGUGCAGUGUAUUUUUGUUUUGUUUUGUUUUUUGACUUUUUAAAACGUAUGGCCUUUUUGGUGGCAAUAAAACUUCAUCCUUCCACUGAGAAUACUGAUGCACAGAAAAUGUAUUCUAGGUUCUAUAUACUCUCAUUAACUGGGACAGUUUUGUUGACCUUUACCCGAUUAUAGAUAAAAUGAAUACUACUUUAAGUCCUCUAAUUCUGCAGAGACUCUUACACAUCUUCCUUCCACAGAGCAUGGCAUCUCUUCUCUUUGGGCAACCGUCAUAGUAAUAAUUAACUUGGUCAAGAAUCAUCAACAGAUGUUGAAACUGUUGGGAGAAAAUUUGAUGGGCAACUGGAAAUCUGCUUAAUCUCAAAAUAGUUGCAGCUAUUAAAAAGGGGAAAAAGUAAUUUAUGAGUGAUAUCACUUUUGCCUAGUGAUCAAAGCUCUCACCAUUUACAAGAUAAGUUUUAGUACCCCCUCCUAAUACAGUGCACUUGGGAAGAUGCGUCACACUGUGGUCAUUACCCUGUAACGGUGACCUGACCAGAACUAUGAGGAAACAGCAGACAGAAUCAAGCUAUCCUACAAAAUAACUGGCUUUCCCUUCCCAGACUUGUGAAGGCUGAAACACAGACCGAGGCAGAAGUCUAAAUGGCAGGGAAUGGCAGAGGUGUGACAACUGAAAAUACAAUUUGUGGUCCUGGGUUGAAUCCUGGAUGAGAAUUAUUAUUUUUUCUUGUUUUCUUAUUUCUCUACUUUUCUUUUCCAUAAGGGAUAUUAUUGGGACAAUUAAUAAUAUUUGAGUAAUAUGUAUAGAGGAGAUAAUAGUAAAUAUUAUUUUCCUGAUUUGAUUAUUUUACUCUAGUUAUGAAACAGAAUGCCCAAAAGUAUACACCAUAGUUUUAGGAGUAAAUGAGCGUUAAUAUAUUUGCAGUUUACUCCCAAAUGACCAAUUACACACACAUUUGAGAAAGAGAAGGACAGAGAAAGAGGAUGUGAUAAAACAUGAACAGCUAUAGAAUCUGGAAGGGUAUCUAUUUUUUUUUCCUACUCAAAAGUUUCCUGUGAAUUUUAAAUCAUUUAAAAAUACAUACAACUAUUCCUAACAGAAAUGUUAGAUCUAACUAGCUGGUGCACCGGGUCCCUAGUCAAGGAGCUGCAACCCCGCCUACAGGUGGGAGGAGCAUCUAUCUGGAUAUGUGUGCGAGGAAAUGCCAGUCAAACAUCCGGCAGUAUUUUUGCAGACAAUAUUUGACAUUUCCAGGACAGUUUUUAAAAUCCGACUUAUUUUGUAAAGACAUCCUACAUCACUAGUAGGAUCCUGACUCAAAAUGUUACUAUGAUAGAAUUCCUUGCUAGCACGAAGGCAAGAGUGACAUCCUAGGGAGGAUUUAAGUAUUUCUCACCUUAAAAUAUCCUCAUUAAUUAUCAGCACCUUCUACCGCCUCUUUAUUACUGUUAUUUAUAUCUCACUGGAAGAAUUUUCGCAAGCAUCCUCCUGUUGCCUUUCAUCACCUCUUUUUGAUAUAUUUUCUUUUCCUCUGCUUUUUUUUCUAAGUUUUUGUGUUUUAUUUUAUGCCGACAGUUUUAUAAGGAAUGGUUCUAAUAGGUACAUGCUAUAAAAUGGAAAUAUUUUACUGGGGUAUUACAUAAAAUACCCAGGAGAAACUAGGAUAUAAAUUAUAUUUUUAUUGUAAGAUUUUACUGCAAAUAAGUUCACAUAUACAAUCUUUUAUUUAUGAUAAGAGCAAAUUCUUUUUACUUAUAGCUGCGUUUGAACUUGGUGCUUCAGUGAGGAAGCUUCUGUGUAGUUACAUAAAAGAAGGUUCUAUUUGGAUGAGAAAUGAAUCUCUUAUUUAGGAAGUGUUGUUUUUCUUGUUGAUUUCCUAAAGUGAGGGAAGGGGGAGACCACUGUGCUGGUGGGUGGGAGGAGGGAGUCAGCCUCUGAUUGCAAAGAUAAAGCUGAGCUCUCCCCUUGGGUUUGCAAAGGGGUGCAUGUGGCCAGCCCCCACACAGGGUCUCCGAGCAGGAGCAGCCCAAAUGAGCCUGAAUCAACGCCACCCAAACCACCCUUUUGUGCCUAUUCCUUCCUUUUCCGUUGGGGAAAAUCCACCCAUGGAAUGGGGCCUCUAAGGAACAACGUUUUCCUGCUCAUAGAAUAAAAUAGGAUUAAAGUACUGUACAGGGGCGUUAUCUAUUUGAUUGAUUAAUUCAUUUAUUUUGUGAUUUGCACAUGCCAGGCAAAUGUACAGCUGAGCUACAUCCUCAGCCCUAGGUUUUUUCUAAGUACUAAAGGCAGAGCUGUGUGUGUCCCUCCCCUGAGAUGUAAGAUCUUCCACAGUUACACUUUCUCACAAGAUGAUGAUGAAUGAUCCCAAAUUUCUUCCUUAAAAAUGCUCUUUGCUUAGCAAUCAUGGAUGCUUCAUUUUUAUAAUUCAUUGAACAUAUAAAGAGCCCUGACCCUUGGGGUCCUAAGUAUUGGGUGCAAAUGUGCGCUUACUCCUCCGGAAACCAGGCAGGUCCUCAGAGCCAUUAUGUAAGGUAGCAUCAUGGUUUUAGUUUCCUCUGACUUGAAUCUGCAGGAAGCAAAUUCUGCCUCUGAACUGAACCCGUCACAUUCUGAACUCACAAACCCCAGGCUGGGUGGACUUGAGAAGAUUUCCCCUCGCCAGUCAUCCUUAGGCAGAAAGCAGGAGCAGCCCUGGUGAAUUCUGUGCUGCUAGGCUCUGCAUGUGAUAGGAGACAUAAAGUGAGGGAAAUUGUAUAGCUUAUCUCUACUUCUUGCUGACUUGCGAUUUUUACCUUGUUUAAUAGGAAAUUAACUGAAAUGUAGGUCUGUCCCUUGAGAGUAGGUAUCCUCAAUUAUGACAGGCCAUGAAAGAUGUGUACCGGAAACUAAAACUCUACAAACAAGACACUUCCUUUUAAUGGUUUAUCCAUAAACAUUUAUUGAGCCCCUUCCUACACAUUUCCAAAGAGUCUCCUCCUCUUGAAAUCUCUUUGCUUUUAAAGGCACAAUAAUUUCUCCUGGUCUCAGCUGGAAUUAAACAACAGAAAUUUCUGAAAUGCAAAAUUUUAGGGUGAGAUUCUUAAGAAAACCAAUGGUAUUUUACUAUAUGGGAUAAUAUAAACAAAAUUUUUUAUAGGCAAAGAGAUAAUAUAGAAACUAUUGUUCGUUUUCUGUUAACUGGUUCUAAAUACCCUGUAAUUUCUUCAUUCUCUUGAAUAGCUUCAGACUGACUUGAUAUGCUUGGUGCUAUAGUAUAUGAAGUUAUACUCAAAUAAUUCAAGGAAGGAGGCACUAUGGUGACUACUAUUAUGUUAGAUUAUCUGGGGGUGAAACACAAUGAUGCUUAAAUUGUUCGGUUCUGACCGGUGUUGUUCUAAUACAAUGUCCUCUUUUACCUCAAUCCCACCCUUUUAAAAAAUUAAUCUAUUUUUCUUACAUUUUUUUUCAAUUAAGGGAAAACUAAAUUAAAAAAUAGCGGAAUAUAUUAUAGUAACUUUUUUGUUUUCCUGUUAACCUGAUAUGAUCCCCACUAUUGCUCUCCCCAUUUUGUUCUGUCAGAUUUUACUAUAUUCUAUUUUGUUUGAUAGUAUCAAAUUUGAGGGUAUAGGCAACCACUUUGAAGGCAGUAAGAUUCACUAAGAUGCCCAUUAUGGUUUGACUAUUAUCUUCUUUUUGAAAUCCUGUAAGGUCUCCAGUGUAGGUUUUAUUGGUUUUGUUCUGUACUGUUUUGAUCAAUUCCAUUAUACCUGACGAUAUAGGCAACUUUUUAAAAAAAUAGCAAGAGGCACAAUGGUAACCAUUUUAGAUCACCUGAUAUUCUAUUUUUCCAUUGUGCACUAUGCCCAUCCUUUUGUUCUAACUGACUCUGUUUUGUUUAGCCACGUUAGUUUUAUUCUCUCCAAAAAAAUAAUAAGAAUUGUGGGAGUAAAAAACCCAAAAAAUGUAAUUGUUAUUAAAAAGAGAGGAAAAGAAGGUGGUCUAAGGGAUAUAACUGCAUGUAUGUUUGAGUGUGUAGGAUGGAAAUCCAUAUUAUUGAACUUUUGUUGGAUCAUUGAUCGGCACUGUCUGCAAUCUCAUUGUAUGAAUGUUCACUUUAUAUGCUUUAAUUUUAUAAUUUGGACAACUAUUUCAAAGAUGACAAUAUGUAACCUAUUAACUAGUGAUAUCUUACUGUAUCUUUUUCCUUGAAAUUCUGUAUUAUUUGUACCCUUUCACUGUUUUUUUAAAAUUUUAUUUCCUUUCUUUUUUUUCUUUCUUUAAAUAAAAAAAUGAAAACCAAUGGUUAAAUGUACUAGAGCUUUAAUUUUCUUUUUGCUGUUCAAUGACUUCCUUUUUUCUUGUUUUUCAUCUCUUCUUUUUCAUUUUUCUUCUCUUUCUUGUUUCCUUUUCCUCUCUUGCCCUCUCUUCUGGCUCUUUUCACUCAGUGCAGUGCUUGUUCAGAGAUUUAUCUUUAAUUGAUUUCUCUGGCAUGGUACUGAGGAGUUAUGGUCUUCAUUUUUUUUUUUUAACACAGAAUUAAAAUUUUGUUUAAGUUUUCUUACAUUUAUCAGUUCAGCCCCAAAGGCAGCUGGCAUUUCUUCUCCUCCCUAUUUACCUUAUUUGUCUGGCUGCUGUCCAGCAGGCCCAAUUCUGUAGCUCAGAUAGGACCUCUGGCUGCCGGGCUUCUCUAGUCAGUCAACACACUCGUGUGGCAGGAUUUCCAGUGGUGGAACAGAGCUGAGCUCACCUUUUAUGAACCAAGUGGUGGUAACCAAUUUACACAUCCUGCACUGGGGGAAAAUCAAUUUCCAAACUGCCACACUUCUGUGUCUCUAACAAAUCGUUGCCUGAGUCCCAUCUAGUCUUUGUCAAACAUGCACAGGUCAUUGCAUUAGGCUGUGAACAGUGCGCAGAUAUGUUUUAAUUAGCACGUGUUUGAAGAACAUAAUGCUUGCAUUCCUUAUGUGGGAUUGGUACAUGUACAUAACACAUUUUAAUUCCUUUUUCUAUCCCUUUCUCUCCUGACUCCAUCCAUCUCUUAAUUCCUUUCCCAUUUGAGAAAGAUUUGUCUCCUACUUAUUGUUAUCUAUCUUUUAUUUGCACUUUAUAAUUUAGGUUUCCUAUUUCACAAUAUUAUGGUCAUGACGUAUGUGCGUUUUCAUACAAAUAAGUUGAUCUUUAUGGCAGGCUGGUAUUCUAUUUUAUGUAAAUACCACAUUUUCUUUUCUUUUUAAAAUUUUAUUUAAGGAGAAAAAAAACAGAAAAAAGGGUACAAGUUAUACAGAAUUCCAGAAAAAAUAAACAGUAGGAAAUCACUAGUUAAUUACAUAUUGUCAUCUUAGAAAUAGUUGUUGAAGUUACAAAAUUAAAGCAUAUAGAGGGGACUUUCAAACAGUGAGACUGCAAACAGUUUUGUUCAAUGAUCCAAUAAAACUCAGUAAUAUGGUUAUCUAUCUUAUACACUUAAAUAUAUAUGCAGUUAUAUCUUUUAGAGAAUUUUCUUUUCCUUUCUUUUGUACAAUGACAAUUACAAAUUUGGGUUUCAUUACUCCCACAGUUCUUAUUACUUUUUUUUUUAAGAAAGUAAAACCAAAUGUGACACACCAGGACAGAGUCAGUCAAAUCAAAAGGAUGGACAUAAUACAUAAUGUAAAAACAAAAUACAAGGUGAUCCACAAUGGUUACCAUAAUGCCUCUUGUUAUCUUAAAAAGAAUUGCCUAUAUCAUCAGUUAUAAUAAAAUUGAACAAAACAGUAAAGAAUAAGACCAAUAAAACCAAAACAUUGGAGACAUUAGAGGACUUCAAAAGAAGAUAAUAGUCAACCAGAAUGGGCGUCACAAUGAAUCUUAUUGUCUUCAUAGUUGUUGCCUCUACUUUCAAACUUGGUACUAUCAAGCAUAACAGAAUAGAGGAAAAUCAGUCAAAACAAGAUGGUGAGAGCAAUACAGAGUUUCAAAUCAAGUUAAUAGGAAAUCAAAGUGGAUUACUAUAAUAUAUCCUGCUAUUUUUUAUUUAUUUUUCCCUUAAUUAAAAGGAUAAAAAUGAAAAAGUAGAUAAUAAAAAGGAGAUUGAGAUAAAAAAGAGGGCAUAGCAACAAAACAGCGCAGGUCAAAACGUAGCCAUUUAAGCAGAAUAGUGUUUCACCACAAGAAAAUCUCGACAUAAUAGUAGUUACCAUAUUGUCUCUUCCCUUAAAAUCUUUGGGAAUACCACAUUUUCUUUAUCUAUUCAUCUGUUGAUGAACAUAUAGAUUGCUUCCAAGAUUUAACUAGUCUGAGUUGCGGUGCUAAACACAGAUAUGCAUGUAUCACUGUAAUACGAUGUAUUUUAUUCUUUAGGGAAGAUGCCUAAAAAGGGAAUCGUUAGGUUAAAUGGAAUUUUUAGGUAUAGUUUUUUAAAAACUAAAUCAGAGUUUCCAGAAUGAUUUUAUUUUUACAUUCUGCUUUUUCAUUUUAUAUCUCAUGUUAUAAAUCAGUCUUACUGCCAUAUAACUGUAUUGUUUCUCACAAUUAUUGAGUACCUACUGUGUGUCAGCUACUAUGAAAAAGGGCAUGUGACAGAUGAGAUAUGUUACACAGCUGGGAUCAAGAAGACUAGGGUUUAAUUCUGGGCUUGUCCACUCUCUUUCUUACUUAACUUGGAUCAAGUUACUUAACUUCUCUGAACCUUAAUUUCCAUCUGUUACACUGAGAAUAACAACAAAAUGCAUUCUUAGAGUUGUAAACUUUUGUUGAAAUACAGAUUUCAAAUGCGAAAUAGUAUAGUGGUUAGAAUAUACCAAGCAUGAAGACACACAUAGGAUUGGCUAUGAUGAUGUGACAUCAAGGAAUUUAAUGUAUGCAAUAAGAAAUGACAGGAGCUGCGACAAAUGUCUCACAGCUUCACUGGAAGCACUAAGAAAAAUAUUGUCAGUUCCAUCCUGAAAUAGAGGUUGGAAAAGCAAGAAAAUCUUCACAGAGGGCAAAAAAGCAGCUCAGUUUUGAAGGCAAACUGGUGCUUAUCAAACAGAUAAGGUCCCACUCAUACACAGAUGUACAAAUGAAGUUAACGUUUUUAGACUGUGAAAAGUCCAGGGCUUUAACAAGUAGAGACAGAGGGAGGAAAUUCCAGGGAGGUGCUACAGCUCAAGCAAGUCACUGAGUCAUGGAUUUUAUUUAAAGAGUGGGUGGGUUCCUAACUGAUUUAGUUCAGGGGAAAUGAGUCCUCCAGUGGGGCCAUUCAAGGGACCUUAGAGAUGCAGGUGGGGAAGUGCACUGAAGAGGUAGGGACACCCUAAGGCAGCGUAGGGGGAGGGAGUGGGUGUCUGGGUGUGGGGAGGUGAUGGGAGUAUCGUGCUCAUAAGACCUCUCUUUGCAGCAUGGAGCUGGGGUUGGAGACGACAAAGGUAGAAACAGGGACAAAUCUAGUGCAGUUUUCCAGACCAGAUGGACCAGGGCUUGAGCUCAUUGGGUGUGACAUUCUGCAGAUUGAACCAUGUUAAAAUCUCAGUACAGUGUGAUACAGUGUGAACAACUUCAUGUUCAUGGGCACUUCAUUAUAAACUUCUAUGUCCUGAAUAUUGCUGUGGUUUGCAUCUUUAUAUACAGAUAUUUUCAUUAAGAUUAAGGGUAGAAGCAUCUACAUGACUCUAGAUAAUUAUAGGCAAAUAGUUCCAAGUGGGUUUUCCACAAUAUAUUUUCACCAGGGCACAUUAGGUCCUGGAUUUCUUGACACCAGAGGUCAUACAGGACUGACUUUUUUUCUUAUGCCAGAAGACACAAGAAAAUUUUAAUUUGCCAUUCCAUGAUAUCUAGAUAAAUAAAGUGGUUUCCCCAUUUGUCUUCUAAUUAUGUGUCUUCACUUGUGAAUGAAUUGCAUAUCCUGUCCUUUGCCCAUUUGAUAAGCAAUCGUGUUAAAUCCUGUUUUGGCUGGCCUCUCUCUGGCAACUCUCCACAUGACUAUUUCCCAUAGGCUAGCUUUCUCAUUUCUUUCCUCUCUGAUCUAUUGUAACUGAAUUCUUUUUUUUAUUCAAUAUCUAAUAGAUGUAACAGUUCUAAUUGCCAUAUUGAUUCAUGGUCACUACAGUUGUGGGCGUGUUAAGAGAACAGGGUUUUGCUGUAAGAGACCUAGCUUUUGAAAGCUGGCUUCACACUCUUUAGAUGUCUGAUAUGGGGCAAGCAUCUUAAGCAUUGUGAACUGGUCUUAUUUGUAAAUUGGGAAUUGUAAUUCAUGGUAGUGUCAAGCGGGAAUUGUAUUUGACUAUGAGAGAUCUAAAUACAGUAGCUUCAAACAA